rnacentral:rRNA from 1 species
GACGAACGCUGGCGGCGUGCUUAACACAUGCAAGUCGAACGAAGAGCGAUGGAAGCUUGCCUCUAUCAAUCUUAGUGGCGAACGGGUGAGUAACGCGUAAUCAACCUGCCCUUCAGAGGGGGACAACAGUUGGAAACGACUGCUAAUACCGCAUACGAUCUAAUCUCGGCAUCGAGGAAAGAUGAAAGGUGGCCUCUAUUUAUAAGCUAUCACUGAAGGAGGGGAUUGCGUCUGAUUAGCUAGUUGGAGGGGUAACGGCCCACCAAGGCGAUGAUCAGUAGCCGGUCUGAGAGGAUGAACGGCCACAUUGGGACUGAGACACGGCCCAGACUCCUACGGGAGGCAGCAGUGGGGAAUCUUCCGCAAUGGACGGAAGUCUGACGGAGCAACGCCGCGUGAGUGAUGACGGCCUUCGGGUUGUAAAGCUCUGUUAAUCGGGACGAAAGGCCUUCUUGCGAACAGUUAGAAGGAUUGACGGUACCGGAAUAGAAAGCCACGGCUAACUACGUG